rnacentral:lncRNA from 1 species
GGAAGGCCUAUCAAUCACAGGUGCGCUAAAAUCAAAAGGUGGGUCAGUAGGUUAGGGAGGGAGGCUGUCUAGAGGACUCCUACCCUUCUGCUCUGAGUGCGCAAGUCUUCCUGGACUCUCCGGCUGUGGGCUGUGGUUUGGAAACGAGGUUGUUCAUAGAGGCUGCUCUGGGGCCACCAUGCAGGGCAACGGUGACGUCCAGAGGCCACCUGCUUGACAUCUCCAUCACCAAAUCUCCAGGAAGACCCUGUUUCCUAUGUGAGGCCAUUGCCCAGCCCACGUUUGCCUCCUUUUCCUCCCUCUGCCACACGCGAAUUCAGCUAAUUGGGGUGUGUGGGCAGCCACGGCCUGGGGAGGUGGCCCCCUCUCUGUGCUGCCCCACGUUGGACUCUAACAGCUGCCCAGCCCGCAUGUCACAUACCAAAAGCUCCCACAUGUAGUAAGCCACUCCUUGACUGUCUAAUCCUGUUAGGAAAAAUGAAGUCUACUUUAGGAGGUGAGAGAAGGACAGGAAAAAAAAACAAAGGAAGCUUGGAUGUCAACAGUCCUCUCUGCCGCCCACGUCCUCUCUGUCUCUGCAG